rnacentral:rRNA from 1 species
AGCUGAUCCAGCCAUGCCGCGUGCAGGAAGACUGCCCUAUGGGUUGUAAACUGCUUUUGUACAGGAAGAAACCCACCUACGUGUAGGUGGCUGACGGUACCGUAAGAAUAAGGAUCGGCUAACUCCGUGCCAGCAGCCGCGGUAAUACGGAGGAUCCAAGCGUUAUCCGGAAUCAUUGGGUUUAAAGGGUCCGUAGGUGGAUGAUUAAGUCAGAGGUGAAAUCCUGCAGCUCAACUGUAGAAUUGCCUUUGAUACUGGUUAUCUUGAAUUAUUGUGAAGUGGUUAGAAUAUGUAGUGUAGCGGUGAAAUGCAUAGAUAUUACAUAGAAUACCGAUUGCGAAGGCAGA